ACCUUUUGCUUUGACAGCAGUUAGGAGAAGCAGCCAGCAGCGAAAGAAGCAGUCCGCAACCAUUCACGAGAUAUUAUUGUUGGGUUAUACAGAUUGGAUAUUUACACCAUUUUAUGGAAUCGUUUCAAUUUCGUUUGGCGAGCGUUGGCGCAAUUUUAAACACCUUUCAUGAAAUGUCACAGCAUGUCUUUGAAUAUUUUCAAUCACAUAUCUUCCUUGGCUUCGUGAAAGUAAUUUAGAUAGAAAGAACACAGACGAUAAUUUUCACAAGACAUUUGCGCUUAUUCUUUCAAGCAGGAUGGUGUCAUACAGUUUCAUAUUCACUUUGGUUAUUGCUGUGGCAUGGGAAGUUAUCGGUGAACCACAAACUCUACCUUCACCCUCAACGCAGCUAAAUUCAACAUCAUCCAUUCAUGGAGGGGAUUUGUCAAAUAACGACACAGAUAAGACCGAAUCAAGAAUGUCUUCAAUGUUACAAUAUCUUCCUACUCUUAAAAAUACUGUAAUUAUUAUUUGCGCGCUAACAGCUGUUCUCAUCACGUGCUUGGUAAUCAAAGUGAUCAGAUCUGGACGGAGAAUCAGGAAAACACGAAAGUAUGACAUAAUCACGACACCAGCAGAGCGAGUAGAAAUGGCUCCUUUGAAUGAGGAGAAUGAUGAUGAAGAGGACUCCACCCUCUUUGAUGUCAAGUACAGAUGUAACUCUGUGUAACGGGUGUCGUCUUCUGAAGAGGAGGAAUCGGACCAAAGGGCAGCGUGGUGAAUGCCAGAGGAUGUUGGAUUUUGAACCCUCCCAUUUUCUCCAGUGGAAACACAACCCAAGGAUAUGUUUUGUAAAGCUGUUCCCUGAUGUAUUCAGUGUUUGGUAACUUCUGUCAAGUCUAGUCAAGUUACCCAUCUCACCCAAUAUUUUCAGAAGAGGUACCUCGGUUGGCUUGUUUUCUAGAAUGUAUUCUGAUUGUGAACAUGCUGUAUUUACAAUAAUUUUGUACACAUCAUACACUUCUAAUGCAGAAGACUCAUCUUCAGAGGGAUACUGCGCCCAGCUAGCUCAGUAAAUGCAUAUCCUCUUUAAGCUAAAACUAAAUACAUAGAGAACAUUUGAUGGCUUCUGCGUAAAGGCAAUCCUCUGGCUGUCCUCUAAUGCUUAUGGUAUAUUAUUCACUGUAAUAUUAGAUGCAUUCCUCAGAUUA